rnacentral:lncRNA from 10 species
CUUCUCUCCAGUUUGCUCCUAACUGCCUGCACUUUCACCUCGCUUCUGGGCACUGCUCCCGGGCUCUGGCGGUGCUUUGGCCCCAUGUCCAGGGAGCCUGACCCGCCUGGUGGCUGUGAUUCCCUGGGACAGCCCCUGGGUGACCACUGUGAGUCUGAGCUCUUGCCUUGGGGCAGGACGAACUGGGUGCUCCUCAGACCCAGAUCCGGCUGAGGCUGGGAUAUUGGCUCGAGUGACACCUGGGCUUGGCUUCCUUCCCUGCCCUGUCCUGUCUCCCCUGUGCAGCCUCCCCUGAAGCGCGGGUCUACAAACCUCAUCCCAGGACCCGUUUCUAGGAGACAGUGAGGCUAAGACCCAGUGCCUGCCCGAUGCAUUAACAGAUGGAAUCCUCCUGAGGACCCUAGGAAGCAGGGAGAAACUCUCCACGGGUGCUGAGAUGUCUUUGACACCUCGCUGAGUAAGGUUGGCAGAGCUUCCUUCACAACAGCCGGAAACGGUUUCCAUUGAAAACCUUCCUCAGGCAGCAGGACAGAAAGCAGACUUGGGUGACACCUUUUGUUUCUCUGUGUUCACUUUCACCAUCACCUACUCUUCCGGGGACCCCCUCAUGAACUGCAGGAAAGACGUCUGGCUUUCCUGAAGCCACCAUGCUGAAAUGAACACACAAGCAGGAGAGCGACGCCCGAGGAGGACCAGCUGUUUGAGUCUGCCCAGCCCAGGUGUCAGACUGUAAAUGAAGACGGCAGCCAGAUGACACUGCCAGCCACCAGCCCCUCUGACUGCACCCUCCAAGAGAUCCAGAGCUCAAACCGCCCUGGGGAGCCACUCCCGAGAUCUUACCCCCAGAAACCAUGAGUGGCCAGUGAUGUUCCAGCAGGUGGCUGGGUCCUGCUGUGAGGACAACAUGGAGCAGAGCCCAGGCUUACCUACAAUGGACAUGCAGUGAUGCCAGGGCCUUCUGGAAGUGCCUGUUUGGCAGUUGGAGCUGGCUGGGGGCUGGGACGUAUCUGGACUGUCUGCCACAACACCAACCCACAGCCCCCUUUCGGGCUACUUGGACUUCCUCACAACAUGGCGGCCCUGGGCAGUCAGAUGCUUACACAGCAUCUCAGGGCUAUAGCACGAAGGCACCUGCAUCACCUUCUGUGACCUAGCCUUGGAGGCCACGCAGCGUCUCUUCUGCCACAUUCUAUUAGUUGUGAGUGAGUCAUGAACGUGCUCAGAUUCAGGAGGGAGAGAACAUAAACCCCACUCUCCAGCAGUGGGAGGUAAAGGUCAUAUGGGAAGAAUAUCUUGUGGGAUGGGAGAAAUUGCAGAGGCUGUCUCUGGAAAAUGCCAUCUGUUACAAGGGACUUAGACCACCCCCGUCCCACCUCUCCUCCAGGCCUGGGUCCUUCCCAUGGCCACCUGCUGACCACUGGGGACUUCUGUGUCAUCCCUCCAGCUCUGAAGAUUCCUCUCAGUGAACUUCUUAGCUAAGCCUGCCAGCCCACAGCCUUCUCUCGUGUCCUGCCUGGCGAGGGGUCUGGCUGGUGUUGAAGGCAGCCCCAGGGCCUCACCUCACACUGCACAAUGACCCACGGUGCCCUGGACAAGAGGCUGCCCUUGGCAUUCCAGGCAAAAAGUCGCUUCCCUGAAAUGUUCUCCAGUGGGAAGCUAAGAGCGUGCCUGCCUCCCAUCCUGACCUCCUGCCCCUUCAGAAGCGUCCCUGCAGCUCCUGCCUGCACCUGGCAGGGAGCACCGCUACAGAGUUUGCUGCUGUACCGGCUCAGAAACGGGAGUUCCCGGCACAGGGCCAUCGGCGAGCCUCCCAGCUGGAGUGUGGGCAGAGGCAGACACUGGGGCUGCAGGGGAGUGGCCCCCAGGGUGUGAAUAGGAGGGCAUCCUGCAGGCUCCAGACAUUGCCAUGCGUGUUGCUGUGAUUAACCCCCAAACCCAGCUCCAUCAUUCAUUCACUCCUUCAUUUGUUCAUCCUAUUGUCCCAGGAGCUGGGCUAUAACAGAAAGGAGACAGGCCACAGACAGACAGGCAAGGCCAUCCCAGGCAGUGAGAGGCGACGUGAACUCUGUGAACUGAGAUGAUGAGGAAGAGAGGAGAAGGGCGGGGCCGCUUUAGAAAGGCUGCUGGGGAUGUCCUGUUUGAGGAGGUGACCCUGUCACUGGAGCCAAGCCAAGAGCUGGGGAAGAGCAUGUCAGGCCCCAAGAACUGCAGGUGCAAAGGCCCUGAGGCAGGACCCUAGCAGGACCCUAGCAGGUGCAGGUGCAGGUGCAAAGGUCCUAAGGCAGGACCUGAGCAGGUGCAGGUGCAAAGGCCCUGAGGCAGGACCUGAGCAGAUGCAGGUGCAAAGGCCCUGAGGCGGGACCUGAGCAGGUACGGGUGCAAAGGCCCUGAGGCAGGACCCGAGCAGGCAUGUCUGAGGGUCAUAGGAAGCCUGUGUGCCUGGAGCAGAGGGUACAAGCCCAACGUGGAGCUUGUGCAUGGCUCUCCACUGCCUCCCAACUCAGUCCAGGGGCUUCUGCUCGGCUUUCAAUGCCCUCCACUGUGGGGGCCCUGCCACACCUCCCCAUUCUCUGGGGGCCCCAGGAUUUCCCACAUCCUUGUUUUUUCCCAUAUUGCAUUAGGAUUUGACUUUAUUAUUUAAACAAGAAGCAGAGGCCCCCACUCCUUAGGGCGGAAACGUUGCUCAGAAUCACAUCCUGGAGGAUGGAGUGAAAGGGAUGUUGGUCUUAGAAGCCCUAAGAGAAGACGGCACAGAGUGGCUGGACUGGGGGUGGGGGUGGAAGAGACUGAGGAAGGCCAGGUGGACAAGGCGGGGUGGGGCCCACAGUCCUCAUUGCCACAGGGCUUUGCCAUCUUGCCAAGGAGCCAACUUGCCCUGAUUCCACGGAGCAGGCCACUGGGACUUCCCACUUCUGUGGGGGCGCUGCGACUGCCUCCAAGAUCCUCCCCAAAUCUCUCUGGGCCUCAGUGAGGUGCCUGGGGAAUGGAUUUAAGAUUGGUGGCCCAGUUUCCGGACAGCUGGGAGAUGAGCUCAGCCUUACUAAUGUGAUCGAAGUUGCCAACCCCUGCCCCGCACAUCCUCAGGGGACCCUAGGCUGCUGGCCACCAGCAAGGUUGUCUUGUCUGUUUGAUCUUCGAUUCCUGAGGGUAGUGGGCACCUCGGUAGGUGAUCCUGCCCAAAUCCCGCCUCCGCUUGUCCUCUUGGCAGGGCGGCCUCCCUCCCGCAUACCACAGCCUUCCUGCAAUGCUGCGACUCGGGUUCAUUCCAGGGGAUCCUUGAGCGCUGGCGGCACAGAGGGGCCAACCUUGAACUCAGCAAAGAGGAAUGCUUGACUCCUCUCCAGCUGGAAGGCUGUACCUGGGCUAAGAACUGAUGAGCCUGCUUGAAGGAAACACUCCGUGCUUUUGUUAAAGGGGAAGGGAAAAUAAAAUCCCAAAUCAACCUUGGAUCAAUGUCUCUUCCCCAGACGGCAGCCCAAGGCCUCUGCGGCCUCUGCAUCAGUCAGCUGGGAAAGCGGCACAGCCCCUGGGACUGUGGCUGGGCCAGCCAGCCUCCACCCAGACAGAGCCCGCAGCAGGCCGUUGAUUCACCGUUCCCCAGCAAAAGCGUCAUCCUGAGUCCCAUGGAAGAGACUGGUUAAUCUCUUACUGUGUAAUUAAUCUCUUACUGUGUACCAGGCACAUGCAUACAUCCCAUAACGCAUUCAGCCUCACACCAUCUACUUUACAAAGCACAUAGCACUACUGUCUUCAUCUGGCAGUUAGCAAACCUGUGGCCCAGAGGGGUGGACCAAUUUACUCAUAGCCACAUAGCUGUCAGGAGCUGAGAUACAAGCCCAGGCGUGGUGGAUCCAAAGCCUCUUGUCCUGGCUGGGCAUAAUGGCUCACACCUGUAAUCUCAGCACUUUGAGAGCCUGAGGCAGGAGGAUUGCUUAAGGCCUGGAAUGUAAUAUCAGCCUGGGCAACAUAGCAAGACCCUGUCUUUAUAGAAAAAAUUUUAAAAAUUGGCCAGGCAUGGUGGUGUGCCUGUGGGCCUGGCUACUUGAGAGGCCGAGGCGGGAGGACUGCUGGAGUCCAGGAGUCUGAGGCUGCAGGGAGCUGUGACUGCGCCAGUGCACUCCAGCCAGGGUGAAAGAGUGAUGCCCUAUCUCAAGAAAAAAAAAAAAAGCUCUUGUCCCAAACCCUAUAUCACCAGGUCCGUAGAAGCAGGAGUGUAUUGAAUCCAUUAGGGAGGCACUUGGCUACAAGUAACAAAAACCUUGGCUCACAGUGGCUUAAAGCAUAAGGUCAUUCAUUGUUUAUUUCGGAGGACAUUGAGAAGCAGGCAUAGCCCAGGUGGGUUCACUAGUUCCUCAGUGUCAGGAUACAGGGCUGGCAUCUCUGCAAUUCUCUUAGCCUUCUCCUCAUGGUGGCACCAUGGCUGCCACAGCUGCAGACAUCACUUCAUCCCACAAUGACAUCCAAAGGCAGGAAGGAAGGUGAGGUGGGAAGGAGGCAAAAGGGACCAAACCUCUCUUCCUGUAACCUUCUCAUUUUCUAGUGAGACCUUUUUCCCAGGAGCCGCCAGCAUACUUCCCUCACGUUUCUGGCCAGAAGUGGAUCACAGGCCUUCCCCGGAUUACUCAGGCCCAGAGGGUGCAAUGUGGUCCCCACUACAUGGUAGACAGGAUUUGAACUAAACAACAGUUCGCUGGAGUGGAAAAUAAAGGAUGCUACAUUUUCUUAUUGUGAUAAAAAAUAUAUAUCAUAAAAUUUACCAUUUUAACAAUUUGUAAGUAUACAGGUUGGUAGCAUUAAGGACAGUCACAUUGUUGUGCAACCACUACCAUCCAUUUCCAGAAUUUUUUCAUCUUCCCAAACUGAAACUCUGUCUCCAUUAAACACCAACUCUCCACCUGGCUCCUGCCAGCCCCUGGCUCCCACCAUUCUACUUUCUGUAUCUGUGGAUUUGACUAUUCUAAGGUUGGACUAGUCCAACCUGUACAUAAAUUGAAUCAUACAGUAUUUGUCCCUUUGUGGCUGGCUUAUUUCACUCAGCACAGUGUCCUCAAGGCUCAUCCAUGUUGUGGCCCGUGUCAGAAUAUCCUUCCUUUUUCAAGGCU